AGGAACCUGUUAAAAAGGAAGUAGUCUUGUUCAGAAAUGUGAACAGGAAAUCCCGAUGGAAUUCUAAUCAAUAGAUAUCUCACCAUCAGAUCGAUCUUGAACUUCUCGAUGCAGUGGCCCUCUACCUCGGAUAGAUUUGAAGUCCUGAUAAAUACAAGAAGAAGAUCGCAUUAAGGAGGGAGAAUCAACUAUCCAAAGAAGGAAAAGAUUUUUCUUUGGUAGCAACACCAGUAUCUUCGAUCGCCAAUUUUGAAUUUACAGGAGACUCCGGUGAUUUAGUACUAGUCAUAUCACACUGUUGGGCGUUGUUCUCCAAUUUACCGGAAAGCAGUUGCAUUUUUUCUUGGCUUUCAUCUUUAACUGAAGAGUCUUGUAUUUGAAUUGAA